rnacentral:lncRNA from 1 species
GCUGCUGUUGCGCCUUCACGACCCCAGUCGGGACGCUGCUGAGGUCAGCUGCCCCUCCGUCCCACCCCUAUCUCAUCCAAUUGUGUCUCCCUACUCCCACGCUGUUGCCUCAGGUUAGGUCAGGGACACCCACAGUGCCCUCAUGGGCUCCCAGGUUCCUAAUCUUCCCCUGGGCUGCCGUACUCAAUCCCCUGCCUUGGGCUCUUCCAACGCUCCUGGUCACAACCCUUUCCCCUCUACCUCGUGCCACUUCCUGGGUCCCUAAGCCUGCUUCCUUUCCCUAUGCCAGAGCUCGGAGUGGACGCUGGCCCGCUGUGACCAGGCUCUUCGCUGGGGCCUGCUGGAGGAGAUGGUCACUGUGGCCCACUAUGACAGUCCUGAGGCUCUAAGCCGUGUCUGCCGGCGCCUGGUAGGUAGAGGAAGCACGGUGAUGGUGAGGGGGUGUGGUCCCUCAUGCUCCUGGUGGGGCAGGUGCACGACCUUGCUCCAUAUGGCCCAGCUCUCGGGCUCCCAACCCCAAGGUUCACCUCUGCAGUUUUGGCCCUCCUUCCUGCAACAAACCCUCUGUUCCCAGGUUCAGCUAUACCCCAACCACCUGCCCAGCUUCCUGAGCCAGACCCAGGGCUAUCUGCGGAGUCCUCAGGACCCACUGCGGCACGCUGCCACUGUGCUUGUAGGUAAGGUAGUCCUGGGUAGGCCAUCUCACCCAGGGCUCUAUGAACUGGACCCUCCCCUCCCCUCCCCUCUGGGACAUGCAGCCGGAACUCGGGGUUUGCUUUGGUCCAGGCUUCCUGAUUUAUCACGCAAGUCCCAGAGGAGUCAGCCAGGAGCUGCUGGAUUCCCUGCUCCAGGGUGAGGACUCAGCAUGUCAGAGCGUGAGGUCCUGAAGGGGUGGCGGGUGCUAGGACCCAGGGGAUGCUGGAGGGCCAGGGCUCUGACGCUGGCAUCCCGAGUGACCUUCCCUGCCUCCCUGAACCGUGUGUGUGUGUGCACAGACCUAGGGCAGCUGCGGAGCGACCCCGAGCCGGCGGUGGCCGCGGCGGCGCUCGUGUCUGCCCAGCAGGUGGCGCUGCUGACCCGUUCGCAGGACCGACGACGCGGUCCUCGCUUCCUGCGCCUCCCUUGGCGUCGCGCCCGCUCGGUUCAGCCCGCGCCUCUCUACGACGACAGCCCGUUCCAGCGCAGGAGCCUCGCAGGCCGCUGGGGCAGCUCGGGAACCCACUGAGCUCAAGCUAGGGCCCUCGGACCAGCGUCUGACGGGGGCACUGACCCACACCAUCCUCAGUCCCCACGAUGGCAGAUCUGCAAAGGGUACCCUGGGCCUGGAGCUGGACGCCAUCCCCUUGCUCUGGGACUCUUCUCCAGAGAUCACCACGUGACAGAGAGGGACAGCUGGUACCAUUUCACCCUGAGCUCCUCCCUCUCGAAUCCCUGGGUGCAUCUGUCCCCUGCCAGGCCUAUUUUCCUAGUCCCCUGGAGUGUGCCCUGUCCAAACUUUGGCUUGGCAUCUGGCCUGGAGGGGGUCUUAAAUGGGGGUCUGUAGGGACACUAUGGAGCCACACACCACAGGCUGUCCUGCCCCUUCCUGGACUCUGCCUUCCUCCCGCCACAGCCGACCAGCCCUGCCAGCAGCCAUCACCCCCUCCUUACCCUGUCCCUAUUCCUGAUUGCUGUCCUGGUUUAUGUCCUCUCUGCCCUCCUGCCCACACCUGCUGUCCACCUCCAGGGGCCACCCACCCCUACCCCACCUGACAGUGGGCUUCUCUGGAAGGCUCCCCUGAUGACCCGUCCUGAGGACAGCACAGGGGGAUUACCCUUAUGGGCUGAGGGAACCUUCUUCCUCAGCGAGGCUCACACACGCAGGUGUCUUUCCCUCAGGGACAGGGAUGGGGUCCUGCCCUCUCCCCAGCUCCCUGGCUCCACUCCACCCAUAGGACAAUAAACACGCGGCUCACAGGGGUGGGUCUGACUGAGAGUGCCAGCAGGAGAGCUAAGGAGCAGGCAGAGCCACUGGCCCCGCCCAGGGAAGCCCUGGGGCCAGCGCUCUUGGGACUGGCCUCAGGGUCUCUGUAGAUGAAUCUCGCAGGCUGCAUUGUAGGGUCAGGCCAAUGUGUGAGUGAGUCUUUGUAGACCCAGGGGCGAGGGUCACUGAAUCAAUUUGGAUCCUCCAGAGCAGAUGCUGAAAGGGAUCACAUGCAAGAGAUGUGUCAAAGGAAAGGCCGGAGAGCCUGGGAGGCGCCAGAUCUGGUGACUGAGAGGGAGGGAAGGAAAAGCGUCUGUGUGGGAGCUGUGGACAUCCAUGCUGGCCUCCAGGAGCUUUCAAGCUGGUCAGCCAUGUACAGGGUGAGUGUCAGAACAAAAGCCAAAUGGAUCCCCUCAGGAACAGUGCCCCCCAAAGCAAGCCUGGCCUCCGCACCUUCCUUGCAACCCAGGAACAGACCCCAGGAGGGGCAUGUGACACUCUCCCUCCAAGCACAGGCUCAUCUGCACCCCAGAGCACAGCGUGUCCAUGGGCAAGCCCUACGGUGCUGCACAGCCCACCCUCAGGUCGGGGCUCCGACGGGGAAGCAGCCGUGGUGAGAAGACAGCACCCACCCCCCUACCUGUGGUACUUGGACAGCCCACACCCCUUUGCAAGCUGCUCGGAGCCCGGCUGUCUUGCCCAAGCGUCCACCUGUCUGCCAUGGCCCUGGCCCAGGAGCUGGCAGUCAUGCGUACUCCCUGGUGCGGUGUGAGGUUCAGGUGAAGUACCCAGAGCCUCUGGAAGUGUGACUCGCCCUGGGACUUUGUUACAAUUCCAGGGAAGCUGCAGGUGGCCAGGUGGCUUGGGCCCUCUGUGAGGACGCCUCAGCUCCAGCCCUCCAGGGGACCCAUCCCCUGCACCCACAGAAAAGUCCACUCGUGGUUAAUCUUCCACCUGGGGGUUGGGCUUAGAGGGCCAGGGGACAGCUGCACCCUGACACAUGUACACCCUCUCCCCUUUUCACAUAAGGCCCUGCCAGAGGCUAGCCAGGCUGUAUUUAUUUAUUUGUUUUUGGUACUGGGGGUUGAACUCAGGGGUGCUUCACCACUGAACCACACCCCCAGCUACUUAAGUUGCUGAGGCUGGCUUGGAACUUGUGAUCCCCCUGCCUCAGCCUCCAAGUUGCUGGAAUCACAGGCCUGUGCCACCGUGCCCGGCUAGCCAGCCUUACUCUGGUGUUAAAAUGCUCUUACACGGGUCUUGUUGCUAUGUACCUCAUUAAUGGUCCCAUAUCCAAGAGCCAACUGUUGGACCCUCCAAAUGGGGCUUCGGUAGGCUGGCAGGACCACCUGUCACCUGGUCUUGGGGGUCUUUGGGCCUCAGGAGCAGUGCUGCAAGGCCUGCUUAUUCAGUGCUUUCCAAGGCCUGGGCCGUUCCCAUCCCGUUCACCCAGGUUUUGCUUUCAAGUUCCAGAACAGGGUUUCCACAGGGGGACCAUGGGCCCAAGAGUCCUGGAGCUGCUCUGCUGUGUGGAGGCUGAGUUUUAGGUUUCUAUAACCUGGAUAGGAGAUGUUUGAGGUGCACUGAUUGGGUUUUCUUGGGGGUCCAAUGUCCCAGCAUGGCAGAACCUGCUGGGAGCCAUUAGCCAAGUAGGCAUGACAAUUUCCUUGCCAGCGUACCCCAUGUUGCAGUGACAUUGAAUGUAGGUGACCUUGUUCAAGGACCAAGGCGGAUUAGGGCGUUCCCGGUUUAGGUUCCAGGUUUAAGGUUUAAGAUUAUUCCUGCUGGGAAUAGGGCGUAUCCUGCUGCCUGAGUUCCCCUUGAGUUCUCACGGGAUUCAGACAGUAUUUUUUGGAGAUAGAAGCCCAGUGGAGGGGGAUUUGGGCAGAGAACGUGGAUUUCCCCAGAACGUGAUUGUAGACGGCUGGUGUGAGUUCGGGAAUAAAGAGUUGC